GAUUAACGCUAGCGGCAGGCCUAAUACAUGCAAGUCGAGGGGCAGCAGGGUGUAGCAAUACAUCGCUGGCGACCGGCGCACGGGUGCGUAACACGUAUGCAACCUACCUUUAACUGGGGAAUAGCCCUCCGAAAGGAGGAUUAACACCGCAUAACAUCACGAGACGGCAUCGCCUUGUGAUCAAACCUCCGGGGGUUAAAAUGGGCAUGCGUCCGAUUAGCUAGUUGGCGGGGUAACGGCCCACCAAGGCGACGAUCGGUAGGGGUCUGAGAGGAUGAUCCCCCACACUGGUACUGAGACACGGACCAGACUCCUACGGGAGGCAGCAGUAAGGAAUAUUGGACAAUGGUCGCAAGACUGAUCCAGCCAUGCCGCGUGCAGGAUGAACGAUCUAUGAUCUGUAAACUGCUUUUGUCGGAAUAACCCUUACGUGUGAGGCUGAAUG
rnacentral:rRNA from 1 species